CAUUCACCGAGAUAUAGAUAAAUCCACACAUUACUUGGUUGGUAAAAUAAAAAAAAGAAAGCACCCAAGAUUUUCUGAUAUAUGAAAUAUUCUUUCCCACACACGAAAUACACCCGUGCCAUCUCUCCUGACCUGUGUCCCUAAUGGAAUAACAGAAUGGACAACUCCGCAAAUCAGUAUGAAGAUUAGAGAAAAGGCCUCCAAUGAAGAGAAUAUCUAUAUAACCCACGUUAUAGCUGAACCCAAAGAAGUAUGCAGCCGGGUACUCUUUCCGGUUCUCUCUGACAUUUGUUCGUGCAUUUAAAAUCUUUGGACCGCCGUGGAUCUACCUCAGAGAUUUUAUAAUUUAUCAAGGCUCCCUAAAUGCAACAUACAAGAUGUUUUAAUGAGUACCAAUGAACUUACUCAAUGAGCUGUAACUCAAACGGUGUAAGCAUUUUGCAACAAUCCACUAGGUCGUAGGCUCAAUUUCUCCACAAGUGCUCCCCCUCCCCAAUUAUCAAAAAAGAUGUUUUAAUGAGUUUUAAUGUAUCAUUAUAAAAUAAAUUAAUUAUUUAAUGAAAUAAAAGUUUAGAAAAA